GACGAACGCUGGCGGCGUGCUUAACACAUGCAAGUCGAACGGAAAGGCCUGCAGCUUGCUGCGGGUACUCUAGUGGCGAACGGGUGAGUAACACGUGGGUGAUCUGCCUUGCACUUCGGGAUAACCUUGGGAAACUGGGUCUAAUACCGGAUAGGACAGCUGUUCACUGUCAUUUGUGGAGAGUUUUUUCUGUGCUGGAUGAUCUCGCGGGCUAUCAGCUUGUUGGUGGGGUAAUGGCCGUACCCAGGCUUCCACGGGUAGCCGGCCUGACAGGGUGUACAGCCUCAUUGGGACUGAGAUACCGCCCACACUCCUACGAGACGCAGCGGUGGGGAAUAUUGCGCAUUGUGCGGAAGCCUGAUGCACCGACGCCACGUGGGGGAUGAAAGCCUUCAGGUUGUACACUCCUUUCGACUCGGACUAAGCGUAAGUGACGGGACCUGUAUAAUAUGCACCGGUUGACUACUUGCCAUCAGACGCGGUAAUACUUAUGGUGCGAGCGUUGUCCGGAAUUACUGGGCGUGCAGACCUCGUACGUGGUUUGUCGCGUCAUCUGUGACAUUCCGGGGCUUAUCUCCCGGAGUGCAGGCGAUACGGGUUGACUUGAGUGCUGUAUUGGAGACUGGACUUCCUGGUGUAGCGGUGAAAUGCGCAGAUAUCAGGAGGACCGCCGAUGGCAAAGGCACGUCUCUGGUCAGUAACUGACCCUAAGGAGAGAAAGCAUGGGUAGCGAACAGGAUUAGAUACCCUGGUAUUCCCUGCCUUAAACAGUGGGCGCUAGGUGUAGGGGGCUUCCACCUCUUCUGUGCGGUAGCUAACGCAUUAACCGCCCCGCCUGGGAAGUACAGCCCGCAAGGCUAAACCUCAAAGGAAUUGACGGGGGCCCGCACAAGCGGCGGAGCAUGUGGAUUAAUUGGAUGCAGCGGGACGAUCCUUACCUGGGCUUGACUUAUACAAGACAGGAGUAGAUAUACUUCCUCCCUUGUGGUUGGUAUACAGGUGGUGCAUGGUUGUCGUCAGCUCGUGUCGUGAGAUGUUGGGUUAAGUCCCGCAACGAGCGCAACCCUUGUGUUAUGUUGCCAGCAUUUGGUUGGGGACUCAUGAGAGACUGCCGGGGUCAACUCGGAGGAAGGUGGGGAAGACGUCAAAUCAUCAUGCCCCUUAUGUACAGGGCUUCACACAUGGUACAAUGGUCGGUACAACGGGCAGGGACACUGUGAGGUGGAGGGAAUUGCUGAAAGACCGGCUUUAGUUUGGAUUGGGGUUUGCAACUUGACCCCAAGAAGUCGGAGUCGGUAGUUAUUGCAGAUCAGCAACGCUGCGGUGAAUACGUUCCCGGGCCU
rnacentral:rRNA from 1 species